rnacentral:rRNA from 1 species
GCAGCCACCUUUUAAAAAGCGUUAAAGCUUUCUUUUAUCUCCACUAAUUCCUCAAUUUUACCGAAACCCCCCACCCAUACUGAAUGACUUCCUAUUAUAUGAAGGACCAUAUGCUAAAACUAGUAACAAGAAGAAGAACUUCUCUAAAAUGCAAGUGUAAGUCAUAAUGAACAAUUCACUGACAAUUAACGUCUAUUGACCCAAAGUAGCAACCCCGCAAGAAAACCCUACUUAAAACAACGUCAACCUUACACCAGAGCAUUAACAGAAAGAUUUAAAGAGCCGGAAGGAACUCGGCAAAUUACUAACCCCGCCUGUUUACCAAAAACAUCCCCUCCUGAUAAACCAUAGGAGGUCCAGCCUGCCCAGUGACAAAGUUAAACGGCCGCGGUACCCUAACCGUGCAAAGGUAGCACAAUCACUUGUUCUUUAAAUGAGGACUAGUAUGAACGGCAUCACGAGGGUUAUACUGUCUCCCCCCUCUAAUCAGUGAAACUGACCCCCCCGUGAAGAAGCGGGGAUAAAAAUAUAAGACGAGAAGACCCCAUGGAGCUUUAAACUCAUUAUCACCUGCCACAUACUACAACCUCUCACCCACGCAGCCCUGAUAACUAGUUUUCGGUUGGGGUGACCGCGGAGCAAAACAAAACCUCCUCGAUGAAAGGAACUGACCUCCUAAUCCAAGAGCCACAACUCUAAGAAUCAAAUUAUUGACAAAAAUUGAUCCAAAUACUAUUGAUCAACGAACCAGGUUACCCUGGGGAUAACAGCGCAAUCCAUUUCAAGAGCUCAUAUCGACAAAUGGGUUUACGACCUCGAUGUUGGAUCAGGGUAUCCCAGUGGCGCAGCCGCUACUAAAGGUUC